GACGAACGCUGGCGGCGUGCCUAAUACAUGCAAGUUGAGCGCUGAAGGUUGGUACUUGUCCCCACUGGAUGAGCAGCGAACGGGUGAGUAACGCGUGGGUAAUCUGCCUUUGAGCGGGGGACAACAUUUGGAAACGAAUGCUAAUACCGCAUAAAAACUUUAAACACAAGUUUUAAGUUUGAAAGAUGCAAUUGCAUCACUCAAAGAUGAUCCCGCGUUGUAUUAGCUAGUUGGUGAGGUAAAGGCUCACCAAGGCGAUGAUACAUAGCCGACCUGAGAGGGGGAUCGGCCACAGUGGGACUGAGACACGGCCCAAACGCCUACGGGAGGCAGCAGUAGGGAAUCUUCGGCAAGGGACGAAAGGCUGACCGAGCAAAGCCGCGGGAGUGAAGAAGGGUUUCGGAUCGUAAAAAUCGGUUGGUAGAGAAGAACGUUGGUGAGAGUGGAAAGCGCAUAAAGUGACGGUAACUACCCAGAAAGGGACGGCUAACUACGUG
rnacentral:rRNA from 1 species